AUCCAGCUGAAGUGUCCCAAAUAGGACGAAACGAAAGUCAAACUGGAU
rnacentral:hammerhead_ribozyme from 1 species